GAGAACAAAGACAAGAUAACAGAUCACAAACGCUGCGCCUCUUCGGCACAAACCGAAAGUACCAAGUGGUGUCGAAGAGCGUAAGUCCCUCCGGCCAAAAAAACAAGGUGACGUAUCCCUCGGAUAUGUGUGGAAUCCCGAAGAAUCGGGCACUUAGGUCCCCUGGGACGUCUCCCAGGGUGGCAGGGGAGAAGUCUGAGUUCGUCAACUCCUUCUCGGGCUGCCCAAAGUACAAAGUGACCACGCGUGAUCAGACUAACGCUGCGCUCAAGAGACGUGGAAACAGACAUGCAGAGAUUCAAGAAAUAUGACAAUACGACAAGGAGCUCGAGCUGGCCAGCUUACCUCCCAGUAGGUCUUCCAGAAGUUCCUCGGGCAGGGAUUUGGGGCAGCAAGAACACCGGUCUCGGUGGGACCUCCAGAUGAAAGACCCUCCGUCCCCCUGUCCAAGGAAGAUCACUCGAAGACACUGGUUGCAAGAGCAAGAGGCUAUUUAUCGAUACACAGGCGCCUGCGGGUGCUCAGCAAAACCUCAGCCGGAGCUUCGGUGUGGUACAGGUUUUUUAUAGGGUAAAGGGGCAGGUUUCGCGCGCUCGAAAUUUUUGCUUGACAUCUUCAUGGUUCCUGCUUAUCAGUUCCUGUUUGUUCAGACGAUGAUCUGUGCUUUCCCAACCGCCCUGUUCUUUCUCAACCUGUUUAUCAGUUUAACGACCUCCGGCAUGCCUACCCCCGGAAUGCCUUCCAGUCAGUCCUCAGGGAUGGGCGAAGCCUGGCUCUGGAAUUAUAAAUUGGGCCACCACCUGAAUCUCGGCGCUUGGCACAGUGCCUGGCACACAGUGGGCUCCUAACAAAUGGUUUGAUUGCAAAAGAAGAGAAAGCGCCCUCGAGAGCGCAUCUGCUGAUGGCUCCCGGUGCAGAGCUGCAAAAGGCGGCGCAGGGGCGCAGGACUCGCCGGGGUCCAGCUGCGGGCCGGGACCGCCUCGGCCGCGCCAUCCCGGGCCCCGGCGGAGGGGGCGCUGCGGCGGGAGGCCGCGGCGGCGGCGGCGGCAGCGGGCCGGGGGCGGAGCGGCGGCGGGGCCGCCCCCAGCGAGCCAGCGAGCGAGCGCCGCGCGCGCCGCCGCCGCCACCUCCGCUGCUCGGCCCGGUCCCGGAGCGGCCCGGCCGGCCCGCGGGGCGCGGAGCCGAGGCCCGCGGCCGGCCGCAUGAAGGACUGCGAGUACCAGCAGAUCAGCCCCGGGGCCGCCCCGCCGCCCGCCUCCCCCGGGGCCGGCGCCCGCCGCGCCGCGCUGGAGCGGCAGCGGCAGCGGCAGCGGCAGCGGGAGCCUGGGCCGCCGCCCGCGGCGCAAGUGGGAGGUGUUCCCGGGCCGCAACCGCUUCUACUGCGGCGGCCGCCUCAUGCUGGCGGGCCACGGCGGCGUCUUUGCGCUCACGCUGCUGCUCAUCCUCAGCACCACUGUCCUCUUCUUCGUCUUCGAACAACACAGGCAGUUCCACAUACCGGCCGCCCCCUCGGACGCGGGAGGUGAUGAUCAAUGGGCAGAUGGUGAAGCUCAAGUACUGCUUCACCUGCAAGAUGUUUCGGCCGCCCCGGACCUCACACUGCAGCGUCUGCGACAACUGUGUGGAGCGGUUUGACCAUCACUGCCCCUGGGUGGGCAACUGUGUGGGGAGACGGAACUACCGCUUCUUCUAUGCGUUUAUUCUCUCCCUCUCAUUCCUGACGGCCUUCAUCUUCGCCUGCGUGGUCACUCACCUGACUCUGCGCUCUCAGAGAAGCAACUUCCUCUCCACUCUGAAGGAGACACCAGCAAGUGUGCUGGAGUUGGUGAUCUGCUUCUUCUCCAUCUGGUCCAUUCUGGGCCUCUCAGGGUUUCAUACUUACCUCGUCGCCUCCAACCUGACAACUAACGAGGACAUCAAAGGCUCAUGGUCCAGCAAGAGGGGCGGUGAGGCCUCUGUCAACCCCUACAGCCAUAAAAGUAUUAUCACCAACUGCUGUGCUGUGCUCUGUGGGCCCCUACCUCCCAGCCUGAUUGACCGGAGGGGAUUCGUGCAGUCUGACACCGUGUUGCCCUCGCCCAUCAGAAGUGAUGAGCCAGCCUGUGGAGCCAAGCCAGAUGCCAGCAUGUGACUCUGGCAAAAUUUGUACCAGAAGACAGAGCUGGAAUUUAAAACCCUCUUAAGGCCUGGAGCCAGGCCUUCACCGGAUCAAACUUCUAUUAUCAGCCAACUGUUGGUGAGCAUUUUGUUAAUUCGUGCAGACUGGAUGUGCUUCAGCACUGUGGGCUUUAGGACUCCCUCCCUCCUAAGCCUCUUUGUCAAGCUGGGAACCUUUCCAAGGACCUGUGAUCCCUGGUAAAAAACUGAAGUUCAAAGAGAUGAUACCCAAAACACACAGCAAGUCAGUGGCAGAGACAAAACUGGAACUCACAACUGUUUUUUUUUCCAAAGCAACCUGCCCCUGGCUCACUGUGUGACGUGAGGGCGUGACACCUGUCCUCCCUGUCUCAGUUGUUCCACCUGCAAAAUGGACCUGCUCAACCUGAGACGCACCCUGAGGUCCCACUGAGCCAUCUGAGAGAAGAUGCUGCGAAGGGCGCCAUGGUGCGUGCAGAGCUCCACCUGGCCUGGGCAGUCGAAGAGGAAGUAGUGGCCGCGGAGGGGGUCAAGCUUGGCCCGCAGCCAGUCCAAGUUGGCCUCCAGGUAUUCCAUGCAGUAAAGUAGGCCGCCGUUGGGUCCCAGCCUCAGCGCAUCCAUCACAUCGCCCAGUCCCACCAGCUCGCCCACGUCCACAGCGCACUCGUAAGGCAGCCCUUCGUUGGCCGGGUCCAAGUUCACCACUGCCACGCGCCGGCCCAGCGCGCGCAGGAACUCACUCAUGCCCAGGCAGUACGUGGUCUUUCCUGAGCCGGGAGGGCCGAUCACCGCCUGCCCGAAGGCCGUGGCCGGAGCGGCUCCCGCCAUGGGCAGUACGUGGACCAGAACCGAACAGGUGAGCCCAACGGGAAAACAGGGCGGACAGCCGCACGGGAGAUGUCGACAAGGGUGGGAGACCACCGGCGUGCUUUUCGCAGGGGAUGACGACCGCGACCCGAAAACCGGCGCCAGGAAAGGGAAGCAAACGGGCCGGCAUUGAUGGCUCCAGCUCCCGACUUCCGGACGGCGUCAGAAGCAGCGGGUCGGGGAGAGGAAGUCCCGCCCCACGGCAGUGACGCUUCCGGACUGGGCGUGGCCAUGGGACGGCCUUUCUCCGUGGGAGCGUGGGACUCCUUUGGGACUCCACCUGCCAGACCGCCUCAGUCCCGGUCCUCCGACUUUUCCCACCCCGAAUUAGAAGAGAAAGCGUCGUCCGGUCACAGACCUCUUUAUUCUCCCCUUACGUCGCAGGCCCCGGCCACCUCCCGCGGGCUCUCCGUUGCUGGGCCGCAGCCAGAGAGGGUACAGGCGGUGAAGGGUCCCGCCCAAGACCUUCUCUUCCAGGAACCACAACUCCUCUCCUUUUCGUCCUUUUGCCUGCUCUCUGCCCUCCAAGGAGGCGUCCUUCAGACCCCCAGGGAAGACUGUGCUGAUGGUCUCAGGCAGUCAGCGCAAGGUACUGCGCAAGCCCAAACAGGGACUAGGGGUAGGAGACUUCGGAGGAAAGGUCAUUAAGCCCUAAUAUCCAAGGAAUGGGGGCUGUAAAAAUGCCCUUGAGGUAGAGAAACGGCAGGCAGCCGGGGACUGCUGAUCCCAGAUUCCUUUCUGCUUCAGUAGUAGACAAGGCCCAGGCAGAGGGCUGUCAUCCUGCAAGAAAGCCUCCAACUCUCACUUAGGCUCUGAGGAGCUCUCCAAGGCACAGGUGGAACCCUUCACAAAGGCCAUGUCUGUCCGAAACUUCAUGCUGGUGGGUGGCUGACGUCGGAGCAGUGAUUCCCUCUGGUCCUGGGGUAGAGGCUCAUCAUAUAUGGUGGAGAUGAGUCCCAAGCCAGUUCUACGGGGUCUCUUCUGUUGUCCGAAUGGCUGUAGCUUCUCUCCAUGGUACCUGGAAAGAGUUUUCAAUAAGAGAGCUGCUCUCUCUCUCUCUGAAAACUCAGGAAAGGGGUUGGAAAAGGACAGGAAAAUCGCCACUACAUAUCUGUGUCAAAGACAGAGUUGCCUUUUUUUUU